ACUCCUACGGGAGGCAGCAGUCGAGAAUAUUUAGCAAUGGGCGAAAGCCUGACUAUGCGACGCCGCGUGCAGGAUGAAGGUCUUCGGAUUGUAAACUGCUUUUGUUAGGGGAGAAGCCUGUGUUAUUAAUAGUAAUACAGCUGACGGUACCUGACGAAUAAGCCACGGCAAAGCCUGUGCCAGCAGCCGCGGUAAU
rnacentral:rRNA from 1 species